rnacentral:rRNA from 1 species
AGUGCAUCGAACGGGAAUUCGCUGGUAGCAAUAUUAGUGGAUUCUAGUGGCGAAAGGGUGCGUAACACGUAGCUACCUACCUCGAAGUUGGGGAUAGCUCGCCGAAAGGCGAAUUAAUACCGAAUGUGAUCGUGAGAUCAAAGUUGGGGAUCGUAGACCUGACGCUUUGAGAUGGGGCUGCGGCCUAUCAGGUAGUUGGCGGGGUAAUGGCCCACCAAGCCUAAGACGGGUAGCUGGUCUGAGAGGACGACCAGCCACACUGGAACUGAGACACGGUCCAGACACCUACGGGUGGCAGCAGUCGAGGAUUUUUCUCAAUGGGGGAAACCCUGAAGGAGCGACGCCGCGUGAGGGAUGAAGGUCUUCGGAUUGUAAACCUCUGUCAUCUGGGAACAAUGUCAUCUACCUAACACGUGGAUUAUUGAUAGUACCGGAAGAGGAAGCAGUGGCUAACUCUGUGCCAGCAGCCGCGGUAAUACAGAGACUGCAAGCGUUGUUCGGAUUCAUUGGGCGUAAAGGGUGCGCAGGCGGUGUGUUAAGUCGGAUGUGAAAUCUCACAGCCUAACUGUGAUAGGUCAUUCGAAACUGGCAUGCUCGAGGACUGGAGAGGAGACUGGAAUGGUCGGUGUAGCGGUGAAAUGCGUAGAGAUCGACCAGAACACCGGUGGCGAAGCGGGUCUCUGGACAGUUCCUGACGCUCAGCACGAAAGCCAGGGGAGCAAACGGGAUUAGAUACCCCGGUAGUCCUGGCCCUAAACGGUGUUCACUUGGUGUGCGGGGAGUCGACCCCCUGCGUGCCGUACCAACGCGAAUGAACCGCCUGGGAAGUA